UCAAAGUUAAAUAUUUACAUCUUUCUCCAUCUUCUACUAAACAAAAAAUGCCUUUUAUUUCAAUAUCUUACAUUAGAAAUCAUCCUUGCCAUGUCUAGAACUAUAGCACUUAGAGAUCUAUAAAUCUGAUUUUUUUGGAGACAUCCUUUAAGUUUCCUGGUUUUGUUAGAAAUUCCUUGCAAAUACUUCAGACAUGCCUAAUAAUACUCAUCAAAUUGAUCUUCAUUCACUUACUUGUUUAUUUGUUCAGCAGAUGUUUAGUCAGUGUCUGUUAAGUGUCAAAAGAAUCAAAGAUGAUUCAGGUGUAGUCAUGGCCUACAAAGAACCCACCGAUACAAUGAGGCCAUCUUUAUCUUUCCUUGUCUCUUGCUCCCAGACUUCUUUCUAGGUGCUGGUUGAUACAGUCUGUCAACAGACUAUUUGUAACCUAGGGCAGUUUACCUACCUUCUGUGAGUCCCCAUAGACUAAGACUUCCCUGAGUCUCCAUUUAUACAGUGCAAGAAAAGAAUGUCUGACUCAGUGAUAGUUAUAAGGAUUAAAUAGGGUGGGUGCAUAGUACAUACCUUUAAACUUUGAAUUUUACCCAUAAUAGUAACAGUAAGGUGAAACUGGGGAGGCAAGAACAGGUCAGAGCAUUAGUAGAGGUUCAUAAACCAGGGCUGCAGGAGUUAGAACUCUUUUCUAAAGGAUAUGUGGAGCUAGUUGAUUUCAGCAGGAGAUGGAUAAGAUUGGAUGUGCAUUUUAGAAAGAUUACUCUGGCAGACAUAUGACGUUGGAUUAGAAAGAACUUAUUGUGGAGGCCGUUAUAUUAAUCCUCACAUAAAGUUGUGAGAAUCUUGCCUGAUAGCAGUUGGAGUUGAGAGAAGUGAACAGAUGCUAAUAAAGCUAUCAAGGAUGUAGAAUUGACCAGAUAAAGUGACUGAUCAGAUGUGGCAGCAAAGAUGGGCAUGUUCAGGUGGAGAAGAGAGAGAUGAUGAGUUCUGUUUGGAACAUGUUGAGUCUGACACAUGAGACAUUCCAGUGGGGGUGUCCGUCUCCACUUUCAGAGGGAACAGCUCAGCUUUUUUACGGGCUUCUGUGUAAGAUUUCAUUUGAGCCAAGAACUGCACUGUUAAAAAAGAGGGAAAAAGAUGUGGGGAAAAGACUGAUGUAGGUUAAUGCAGGUAUUCUAGAAAAGUAGAGGACUGCUAGAAUUCAAAUUGGAAGAAGAAAAAUAUUUUAAUUAUAAUUCUCAUCAGAGUUUGGCAUAAGAUAGCUUAAUUCCUGUACUGCUUAUAAUUUUUAUAUCUAAUUUUUAAAAAUCAAAGAAGAAUGUUCCUGAUACUGCUUUCACUCCACUAGAGGGCAGCUGUUCUAUUCCAAAUCCUUUUUGCUUGCCUAACAGCUCUGGAUACAUAUGAGAAGCAAUUUAAAUGUUAUUUGGGCAACCCUUAGGGAGGAUAAACACUUUAGACAGGUUUUGCAAUUUUGUGAGUUUUAUCUAAUAUCUUUGUAAACAAUGUGUUGGUGUUUCUUGGGGUUGAAUGAGAGUUUUGUCCCUGUUCUGGUUUUCUAGUGGCUGAUUUUUGAGUUAUAACCAAAAUAACAUUUCAAACCAGUCAGGGGCCAAGAAACUUUCUGUAAAAAGCCAGAUGGUAUAUAUUUUUUGCAGGUUUGCAGGCCACACAGUCUCUCUCAGCUGUUCAGUUCUGCUUGUUGCAUAAAAGCAGCGGCAGGCAAUGCCUGAAUGAAUGGAUGUGACUAUGUUCCAGGAAAAUUUUAUUUACAAAAAUAGGUGGUUAAAAAACCUGCAGGCCAUCUGGCCAUUAGUCUAUAUGUUCAUGAAGCCUAGUGAUCCUGGUACUUAAACAUGGAAAGGGUUGGCUCCUUUUUUUCCAGUGCUGUGUCAGGAACUCUAAAGGAAAUAAUACUCCAAAUAGAAAAUGUCUAGAACCUUAUUACAGCACACACAUUAUUUUAUAAGUUUGGGGAUGUUGUGUACUUGAGUGCCUGUUUUUCUAGCAUCUCAGAAAAAUGUCUUUUUACUUUCAUCAUCAAUAUAAUUUGUUAAAAAUAAAUACAUAGUUUUUUUAAAGCUGUCUAUUCUUAAUCUAUGAUGAUUGUUCCAGACUUUGUUAAUGAAGGUUUGAGUAGUGACCUAAAGGAAUUUUACUGUUUAUUUCCCUGGAAAUUGUAUCUUCUCACCUCCCAGUUAUUUAGCCUCACAAAAAUGAAAUCCAUUGUUUACAUUUAGAUGUGAAAAUCUUAUAUCAUUAAUCUAUAUGGAAAAUUAGGUUAUUUUUCCAAGUGUUCUGUUAUAUUAAAUUCAUUUUAAA